rnacentral:rRNA from 1 species
AGAGUUUGAUCCUGGCUCAGGAUGAACGCUAGCGGCAGGCCUAACACAUGCAAGUCGAGGGGCAGCAGACCACUUCGGUGGUGCUGGCGACCGGCGCACGGGUGAGUAUCGCGUUUGUAACCUACCCUUAACUGGGGAAUAGCCCGAAGAAAUUCGGAUUAAUACCCCAUUAAAUUUAAGAACGGCAUCGUUUUUUUAUUAAAGCUCUGGCGGUUAAGGAUGGGCAUGCGUGACAUUAGUUUGUUGGUGAGGUAACGGCUCACCAAGACUACGAUGUCUAGGGGGUCUGAGAGGAUGAUCCCCCACACUGGUACUGAGACACGGACCAGACUCCUACGGGAGGCAGCAGUGAGGAAUAUUGGGCAAUGGACGCAAGUCUGACCCAGCCAUGCCGCGUGCAGGAUGACGGCGCUAUGCGUUGUAAACUGCUUUUAUACAGGAAGAAAUCCUCCUACGUGUAGGGGGUUGACGGUACUGUAAGAAUAAGCAUCGGCUAACUCCGUGCCAGCAGCCGCGGUAAUACGGAGGAUGCAAGCGUUAUCCGGAUUCAUUGGGUUUAAAGGGUGCGCAGGCGGGGCAAUAAGUCAGUGGUGAAAUCCUGCGGCUUAACCGUAGAACUGCCAUUGAUACUGUUGCCCUUGAGUAUAGUUGAGGUGGGCGGAAUGUGUAAUGUAGCGGUGAAAUGCAUAGAUAUUACAUAGAACACCAAUUGCGAAGGCAGCUCACUAAGCUAUCACUGACGCUGAGGCACGAAAGCGUGGGGAGCGAACAGGAUUAGAUACCCUGGUAGUCCACGCCGUAAACGAUGAUUACUCGUUGUUGGCGACAUCGUCAGCGACUAAGCGAAAGCAUUAAGUGAUCCACCUGGGGAGUACGAUCGCAAGAUUGAAACUCAAAGGAAUUGACGGGGGCCCGCACAAGCGGAGGAACAUGUGGUUUAAUUCGAUGAUACGCGAGGAACCUUACCUGGGCUUAAAUGCAGAACGAUGUACCGGGAAACUGGUAUUCCCUUUCGGGACUCUUUACAAGGUGCUGCAUGGUUGUCGUCAGCUCGUGCCGUGAGGUGUCGGGUUAAGUCCCAUAACGAGCGCAACCCCUAUCGUUAGUUGCCAGCGAGUCAAGUCGGGGACUCUAACGAGACUGCCGGUGUAAACCGCGAGGAAGGUGGGGAUGACGUCAAGUCCUCAUGGCCCUUAUGUCCUGGGCUACACACGUGCUACAAUGGUUGGUACAAAGCGCUGCGAAGCCGCGAGGUGGAGCGAAUCGCAAAAAGCCAGCCUCAGUACGGAUUGCACUCUGCAACUCGAGUGCAUGAAGUCGGAAUUGCUAGUAAUCGUCGAUCAGCAGGCGACGGUGAAUACGUUCCCGGGCCUUGUACACACCGCCCGUCACACCAUGGGAGUCGAGUGCUCCAGAAGUGGCCACGCUAACCCGCAAGGGAGGCAGGUCCCCAAGGAGUGGUCGGUAACUGGGGUGAAGUCGUAACAAGGUAACC